rnacentral:rRNA from 1 species
UCUAGAGGCUUCGACAAUGCCCGAAAGGGUGAUCGAGCGACGCCGCGUGUGGGAUGAAGGUUUUCGGAUUGUAAACCACUUUUGUUUGGGAAGAAGGCCUAUAUCGUGAAUAUGGGAUUGACGGUACCAGACGAAUAAGCCCCGGCUAACUCCGUGCCAGCAGCCGCGGUAAGACGGAGGGGGCAAGCGUUGUUCGGAAUCAUUGGGCGUAAAGGGCUCGUAGGCGGACUAGUAAGUCUGGCGUGAAAUCUCCACCGCUCACCGGGGAGAGGUCGCUGGAUACUGCUAGUCUUGAGUUCGGUAGAGGGUCGUGGAAUUUCGGGUGUAGCGGUGGAAUGCGUAGAUAUCCGAAAGAACACCGGUGGCGAAGGCGGCGACCUGGGCCUGAACUGACGCUGAGGAGCGAAAGCUAGGGGAGCAAACG